GACGAACGCUGGCGGCGUGCUUAACACAUGCAAGUCGAACGGAAAGGCCCUGCUUUUGUGGGGUGCUCGAGUGGCGAACGGGUGAGUAACACGUGAGUAACCUGCCCUUGACUUUGGGAUAACUUCAGGAAACUGGGGCUAAUACCGGAUAGGAGCUCCUGCUGCAUGGUGGGGGUUGGAAAGUUUCGGCGGUUGGGGAUGGGCUCGCGGCUUAUCAGCUUGUUGGUGGGGUAGUGGCUUACCAAGGCGUUGACGGGUAGCCGGCCUGAGAGGGUGACCGGCCACAGUGGGACUGAGAUACGGCCCAGACUCCUACGGGAGGCAGCAGUGGGGAAUAUUGCACAAUGGGCGGAAGCCUGAUGCAGCAACGCCGCGUGCGGGAUGACGGCCUUCGGGUUGUAAACCGCUUUCGCCUGUGACGAAGCGUGAGUGACGGUAAUGGGUAAAGAAGCACCGGCUAACUACGUG
rnacentral:rRNA from 1 species